rnacentral:rRNA from 1 species
GACGAACGCUCGUGGCGUGCUUAACACAUGCAAGUCGAACGGAAAGGCCCUGCUUUUGUGGGGUGCUCGAGUGGCGAACGGGUGAGUAACACGUGAGUAACCUGCCCUUGACUUUGGGAUAACUUCAGGAAACUGGGGCUAAUACCGGAUAGGAGCUCCUGCUGCAUGGUGGGGGUUGGAAAGUUUCGGCGGUUGGGGAUGGACUCGCGGCUUAUCAGCUUGUUGGUGGGGUAGUGGCUUACCAAGGCUUUGACGGGUAGCCGGCCUGAGAGGGUGACCGGCCACAUUGGGACUGAGAUACGGCCCAGACUCCUACGUGAGGCAGCAGUGGGGAAUAUUGCACAAUGGGCGGAAGCCUGAUGCAGCAACGCCGCGUGCGGGAUGACGGCCUUCGGGUUGUAAACCGCUUUCGCCUGUGACGAAGCGUGAGUGACGGUAAUGGGUAAAGAAGCACCGGCUAACUACGUGCCAGCAGCCGCGGUGAUACGUAGGGUGCGAGCGUUGUCCGGAUUUAUUGGGCGUAAAGGGCUCGUAGGUGGUUGAUCGCGUCGGAAGUGUAGUCUUGGGGCUUAACCCUGAGCGUGCUUUCGAUACGGGUUGACUUGAGGAGGGUAGGGGAGAAUGGAAUUCCUGGUGGAGCGGUGGAAUGCGCAGAUAUCAGGAGGAACACCAGUGGCGAAGGCGGUUCUCUGGGCCUUUCCUGACGCUGAGGAGCGAAAGCGUGGGGAGCGAACAGGCUUAGAUACCCUGGUAGUCCACGCUGUAAACGGUGGGUACUAGGUGUGGGGUCCAUUCCACGGGUUCCGUGCCGUAGCUAACGCUUUAAGUACCCCGCCUGGGGAGUACGGCCGCAAGGCUAAAACUCAAAGGAAUUGACGGGGCCCCGCACAAGCGGCGGAGCAUGCGGAUUAAUUCGAUGCAACGCGUAGAACCUUACCUGGGUUUGACAUGGAUCGGGAGUGCUCAGAGAUGGGUGUGCCUCUUUUGGGGUCGGUUCACAGGUGGUGCAUGGCUGUCGUCAGCUCGUGUCGUGAGAUGUUGGGUUAAGUCCCGCAACGAGCGCAACCCUUGUUCACUGUUGCCAGCACGUUAUGGUGGGGACUCAGUGGAGACCGCCGGGGUCAACUCGGAGGAAGGUGGGGAUGACGUCAAGUCAUCAUGCCCCUUAUGUCCAGGGCUUCACGCAUGCUACAAUGGCUGGCACAGAGAGUGGCGAGCCUGUGAGGGUGAGCGAAUCUCGGAAAGCCGGUCUCAGUUCGGAUUGGGGUCUGCAACUCGACCUCAUGAAGUCGGAGUCGCUAGUAAUCGCAGAUCAGCAACGCUGCGGUGAAUACGUUCCCGGGGCU